CCUACGGGAGGCAGCAGUGGGGAAUAUUGGACAAUGGGGGCAACCCUGAUCCAGCCAUGCCGCGUGUGUGAAGAAGGCCCUCGGGUUGUAAAGCACUUUCAGUGAGGAAGAACGCCUGGUGGUUAAUACCCAUCAGGAAAGACAUCACUCACAGAAGAAGCACCGGCUAACUCCGUGCCAGCAGCCGCGGUAAUACGGAGGGUGCGAGCGUUAAUCGGAAUUACUGGGCGUAAAGCGCGCGUAGGUGGCUUGAUAAGCCGGUUGUGAAAGCCCCGGGCUCAACCUGGGAACGGCAUCCGGAACUGUCAAGCUAGAGUGCAGGAGAGGAAGGUAGAAUUCCCGGUGUAGCGGUGAAAUGUGUAGAGAUCGGGAGGAAUACCAGUGGCGAAGGCGGCCUUCUGGACUGACACUGACACUGAGGUGCGAAAGCGUGGGUAGCAAACAGGAUUAGAUACCCCUGUAGUC
rnacentral:rRNA from 1 species